rnacentral:rRNA from 1 species
GACGAACGCUGGCGGCGUGCUUAACACAUGCAAGUCGAGCGGUAAGGCCCUUUCGGGGGGUACACGAGCGGCGAACGGGUGAGUAACACGUGGGUGACCUGCCCUCAGCUCUGGGAUAAGCCUGGGAAACCGGGUCUAAUACUGGAUAUGACUCCAUGACGCAUGUUGUGGGGUGGAAAGCCUUGUGCGGCUGAGGAUGGGCCCGCGGCCUAUCAGCUUGUUGGUGGGGUGAUGGCCUACCAAGGCGACGACGGUAGCCGGCCUGAGAGGGCGACCGGCCACACUGGGACUGAGACACGGCCCAGACUCCUACGGGAGGGCAGCAGUGGGGAAUCUUGCGCAAUGGGCGAAAGCCUGACGCAGCGACGCCGCGUGAGGGAUGACGGCCU